GGCCUGUUGAUUAUAAUUUCAGGUCGGGCCUGCCCAAUGAUUAAUUAAAUGGCCGCGGUAUAUUGACCGUGCAAAGGUAGCAUAAUCAUUAGUUUUUUAAUUGAAAGCUUGUAUGAAAGGUUUGAUGAAAAAAUUUCUGUCUCUUGAAAAAUUUAUUAGAAUUUUAUUUUUAAGUUAAAAAGCUUAAAUUUGUAUGGAAGACGAGAAGACCCUAUAGAGUUUUAUAUUUAUUUAAUUAGAUAAAUAAAGGGUUAAAAAUUUAUUUAUAUCAAUAAAUAUUUUAUUGGGGUGAUAGAAAAAUUUAAUAAACUUUUUUUUAAUUAGAACAUUUAUUUAUGAGUUUUUGAUCCUAAAGUUUAGAUUACAAGAUAAAUUACCUUAGGGAUAACAGCGUAAUUUUUUUUAGAGUUCUUAUCGAAAAAAAAGAUUGCGACCUCGAUGUUGGAUUAAAAUAAAUUAUUGGUGUAGAAGCUAAAUAAUUAGGUCUGUUCGACCUUUAAAUUUUUACAUGAUCUGAGUUUAGACCGGUGUGAG
rnacentral:rRNA from 1 species